UACGGAGGGUGCGAGCGUUGUCCGGAAUCACUGGGCGUAAAGGGCGCGUAGGCGGCGCGGGUAGUCAUCGGUGAAAGUUCAGGGCUCAACUCUGAAUCGGCCGGUGAUACUCCCGUGCUCGAGCACUGUAGAGGCAGGUGGAAUUCCGGGUGUAGCGGUGGAAUGCGUAGAGAUCCGGAAGAACACCGGUGGCGAAGGCGGCCGUGCUGGGCAGUGAGCUGACGCUGAUGCGCGACAGCGUGGGGAGCAAACAGG
rnacentral:rRNA from 1 species